ensembl:lncRNA
AAUACACACCAAGUAUUUGCUAUUACCAUCAUUAAUAACCACAAACUAUGAUGGAUUAGUUGAACAAUCUUUAGAAGUUUACAUAAUUACUUCUCCUAAUAUUUUUGGUACUAUCUGGAGCCCUUCCCAGUGGAGAACCUCCUUUGCCACGGCUGCAGAUGGUCUACGUCCCAGGACGAGUGUGGCCAACUGAGUGGGACCUCACUAGAAUGGAGGUACCAUCUUCUCUCACUGCACAGUUUUAUCCAAUCAUCCAAACUCACAGCAGCUCUUUCGGCAGCCAACUGCUGUUUUAGCUAACAGGUGUAGAUCUUUGUCACCUGCAUCGUUACUAAAGGCUCUGCUUUAACAUCUGGAACACACUAAGCACCAUGUUCAAAGCUGCCCCUGUAGACAGCUCCUCUGCAUUUCCCCAGAGGAGGACCAUAUCUCAAGACUGCUCAGCACCCAGUGGUUGCUCAAUUUGUUAGACCAAAAUGCCACCAAUUUCCCAGAAGUUUACUAGCGUCCACACUUACUCAACCAUGUACCCUGCCAAGGAAGACUGAGGGACAAUUAGAAGGCCUUCCAGGAGGCAGUAAUGAGGAAAUGUCCUUGAUGCCAGUAAGAUACGCAUGGGGUCCCAACAGGACAAGGCCCUUCAGAAAUGUGACAGUUGUACGUAUUUGCCCAGGAUGAGAAAAGGAUCUGGCUCAACAAGACCAGCUUUUAUGGUCCUUAAGUUACAGGGACAACCUGAGCACCAAUUUAGGCCUUGGAUACAAGCGAGCACGCCGACCAGUCCCAACCUUCCCUGGGGUUGGAGGCUUGCUCUCCACUGGCAGGCAGAGCCUGUGCCUGCAGACAUGGCAGCUGUGCUUCUGGAGCAGUUUCCCAUUCCAAAACUUGACCAUCCUGCACCUGACCUGUGAUGCACCUGAUGUUUAGCAUCAAGAUCUCCUUUAGGGAGGGGAUCACUGGGUUCCCAAGAACUCAAACUAAAAACACAUCUCAGGAGGAAUCCAUUUCUGGGGUUGCUUGUCAGGCUGUUUCCUCUGUGGGGUGGAAGGUUAAUUCUGCAGCUUUCAUUUAAGCCUGGGACCUAGCUGGCCAUCAGUGAGGUGCUUGGUCCUAAAGCUGGAGGAAGGCACCAGGGACAAAGAUUAAGAACCAAGGAUGCCAAUAAAAAGGAACAAAGUACUGAUAACAAGCUACAACAUGGAUGAACCCCAAAAGACUCAGCUAAAUCAAAGACACCAAUCAUGAAGGACACACAUUUUAUGAUUCCAUUUUAUAUAAAAUGCCAGAAGAGGCAAAUAGAUAUGGAGAGAAAGUAGAUAGGCAUUUGCCUAAAGCUUAGGGGGAUGGGGAGGUGCGGGACUAAGAGGCUAACAGCAAAGGGGUGUGGUCUAUCUUCUUGGGGUAGUAAAAAUGUUUAAACAUUGAUUGUGGUGCUGAGGCACGUCUCUGAAGAGACUCAAGGUCACUGAGCUGCCUACUUUAAAUGAGAGAAUUGUAUAGCAUGUAAAUUCUACCUCAAUAAAGCUGCUUGAGGAGGAAUCAAGUAAGUAUUUAAUAUCAUUUAUUGUGGGAAAGUUGUUUCAUCUUGGUUUCUAAGGUUUAUGGUUAUGUCCAACUUGCAAACAGUUUAAGGAAGGAGCAGAAUUAGCUUGCUCAAGCUCUGCCUACAUCUCUCCGCAGAACUCCUGGGGCAUGCUGCCAGAAUUUUACAACUGAGACCAAAACAGAAGUAAGACUUUAUCAUUCCAUGCUGCACCAUCAAAUUCAAAUUUCCUAUAACCAAGCAAACUAGGAAACAGGACUUAGGCAUCAAGGGUCCUGCACUGUCAUUACAGCAAGCCACGCUGCAGCCGCGGGGACCGCUGCUACCAGGGCCUGUUCCUGGCCCAGCCCGAGCAAAGCUCCACACCCCUCCUGGGGCCCAGUGCACGUCCUCACAAGCCCCACACAGCAUGGAGUGCUGGUUUUCCCCUGGAUGAACAUCAGGGUUUUAAUUUCAUGCUACUUAAGCAAACAACCGGGAAUUUCUGAGAGCUGCUCAGUGCCAGCAACAUGUUUGGUUGUUUCUGAGGAGCAGAGAGGUUAGGAUUUAAUAAACGGUUGAACAUGAGAACCAACUUCAGCUCAUGUGCAGGCUCUGUAUUCAGAUGGAAGCAAAGAAUGGACAAAACCAUACCACGUCCAGUCAGGGGGGAACAGGAGAGAAUAAAAGAGGCUGUACCUGUACGCACAGGGAAGUUAGGCAAGGCAGAGGCAAACAUGGAAGAUUCUGAAACACGGAGAGAAUACGAUUAACCUUAAGAUGAAGAGAGAGGGAGACCAGCUAUAAGAACCUAGUAUUUGAGCACCUGUUACUUCUCCUUUAAGAAAAUCCAACAAAUACUUUUCCCAACUUUUAAUUCCUUAACCAUUUUACUUUAUAAAAUACAACACCUACUAUAAAAUACAACACCUACUUCUUAAAUGAAGCAUGGACAUUAUAUAUUUUUUAAAGUCACAGACGGCAGAGAAAGCAGUAAUUUCACUGCCCCCUUGAACAUGACACCAAAACACAGAGCUGGUGUCAGUUACUGGGCUGAUCUUAUUCUGGUUGUUUCCUGUAAGUGGAAUCUCAACCAACGGAGGGAAGGUUGGAACAGGAGGAAUGAACGAUGGUCCCAAGACAGUUAACUAGCACUUCCCCAGAUUUUUAUUCCUAAUCAUCUACCAGCUGCAACAAACAUCAAGUAGGAAAAGAAAAAACUUACUCAUUUUGGUGGCCUAGAUAUUUAGGAUUUUAUUUUCACCUUUAAGUAAAUAACAUCUUUCUAUUUGAAGCACAGGGAGCUAGUUUAUUAACAUACUUAACGGAUGAGAACGUAGCGUGUCCACCCAUCUGCAACCCCAGAGGCUUGGGCAAGGUGCUGAGCGGAGGACACAGCCCCAGAUCUGUCCAAUGGGAGUCAUUCCUGCCGGGCCGGACUCAAGGGGGCCCACCCCAAGGACUUAGCGACAAUGACCUUACACUGAAGGAGCUCCAACAAUUAGGCCUAAGUUAGUAAUUACGUGCCAAUUUGAAAAAGGGCUACUUUCAUUAUCUUAUUAGGUACAGAUAUCCUGCUGUUUUAUGUUUUGAUCCAAUUCAGACUUGAAAAGUAAAACCUUAUUUCUUCCUGAAGGAUCAACUUACUCUGUUUCUGGCUUCAGGAACAUGGUGAUCAAGAGCUCACCACCAAUUUCCUUCUGAGAUCUUGGUGAUCCCCGUCACAGGAGAUGGCGGGACAGGGGAGCCGCCCACUCGAGCCGGGGCUGCACUGCAGAAGGAGGUACACACGAAAUACGGAUCCUCAUGGGAGGGAAACAUUCUGAAGGAUCAGAAUAUAUUUGAAACUCAUGCCACAUAAGAUAGGUGUCAUUUUUACUUUAUUUAAGGAAAAAAGGGGGAGGAGGAGGGACACAGUAAUUUUCAUAAUACACAGAAGACAAAUCAGCACUGGAAAAAAGAAGGCUGUGGACUUGCCACCAGUCUGCUUUGCAGCUCUAGGAUUAGUAAAUUUAAUGCAGUUUGUCAUUUUUAUUACUGUUUAGCAAAUUUAUAAUUGGCAAAAUUAGGGAUUAUGAAUCACCAUAAGUGGACUACAACUAAGACAAAAACCUAAAAAACCCAUAAAAAAAUCACUUAAAAAUAAACCAUAAAUAUGUGAUGCACAUUAGUGUAACAAAACCAUUUUUGUAAACAUUUUCUCCAACAUAACAUGUGCAUGAGAAAAAAGUAAAAACACUGCACUCAAUACAGAGUUACUCUGACUUAAAUACAGAAAGGUAUUACUUAUUAAAGCUUUGACUAAACCUAGAGACACAUCUGUGUUUUGAAGAGCACUGCUAUACUAGUUUCCAAUGUUCCAUAUUUAAUGGUAUCAUCGUAAUACUGUUUUCCUCUGUAAUUCUGCCAUCUUGGCACUUCUGGGAAGUCACUACCCUGUUAAAAGAAUCAUCCCUUCUGUGGAAGAACGAAAUCUCAACAAGUCACAAUCGUGUACAAAGAAACCUAACUGGGCGCCUGCCUCAAGCUGCAGCACACAGUCUGGCUAACAAGGGUGAGGCGAGGAAGGAAGGACACCACAGCCAGGGACAGCACACGCCAGAAGCCUGCGCCAGGACAAACGGUGCUCCGACCUCAGUACGUGAUGCCCAGCAAUGGACUCGAUUCCGUUCAACUCAAACACCCAGAGAUGCCAGGUGGGGCCUGGUACUGCGCACGUGGGACGGGACCACUCUGACCUGAGCACAGACUCCAUCACUUCAUAAGGCCAGUCUUUGUCAAGUUCUAAAUACUCAGUAACUCCAAUGACAUACCACUUGCAUUAUUUGUGAAACACAUCUUGACUUAGAGACACUGAGCUUCAAGUCUGUGGAUAAUUAAGAUCAUGAUACCUCGUUCUUUUUUAUUUUUUCCACACUGGUAUCAGAAGUUCAGUAUUUUUCCAAAGAAACCUGCCCAACUUUUACCUCUCUCUAAAGCCGUGGAGGGGCUACAAUCGAUCAAGCCAUCCAAUUCUUUCUCCUCUUGGCAUGCACACGUGUUCACUGGCACGUGCCAUCUCACUUGCAAAGCCAAACAUGUUAGGAAAUCGCCAGCAGAAAUCUGAUUUUUGAUUGAAGUCCUAUGGUGAUGGAAUCUGGCCUAUCUCAGAAGUCCCUUCUCCAAAGGUGGCAUUAACUCUUCAAUCUUCUUUAUGUUAACUACAAAUUUGUAGGAAAAAUCUAGUUCUUUCUGCUUUGGACAUGAGCACUACUCUAAAGUCACACACAUGGGAAAACCAUUUCCAUGGCCUUGUCCUUCCAAAAGAGAGGAAAGCUUUCUCAGCUUAUCUUGUCUUUGUGGGUAUGCACAACCAGCUGUCAUUUAUGCAUUUCUGAGUGUAUGUAUUUUUCACUAGAUUUUUGUAAUUCAAAAGAGAGCCUUUGGCAAAAAUGCUGAACCAGGAGGAAGAGAAUGACAGCAUUUAAAACGGAUGCUAAGAGGGAUGACAAUGCUGGGCAAAGCCUCGGCAAAUAGGUGCAAAUAAUUACUACAUUUUUGGGCGGAAAAUUCCCCACUUUCAUGUUAUAAAAGAAAAUUAACUACAAAGGAGGAUUAAACCUAUGAAACACCAAGCUUCUGUCUGGUGAACAAAGUUUAAAGU